AAAUUGAAGAGUUUGAUCAUGGCUCAGAUUGAACGCUGGCGGCAGGCCUAACACAUGCAAGUCGAACGGUAACAGGAAGCAGCUUGCUGCUUUGCUGACGAGUGGCGGACGGGUGAGUAAUGUCUGGGAAACUGCCUGAUGGAGGGGGAUAACUACUGGAAACGGUAGCUAAUACCGCAUAACGUCGCAAGACCAAAGAGGGGGACCUUAGGGCCUCUUGCCAUCGGAUGUGCCCAGAUGGGAUUAGCUGGUAGGUGGGGUAACGGCUCACCUAGGCGACGAUCCCUAGCUGGUCUGAGAGGAUGACCAGCCACACUGGAACUGAGACACGGUCCAGACUCCUACGGGAGGCAGCAGUGGGGAAUAUUGCACAAUGGGCGCAAGCCUGAUGCAGCCAUGCCGCGUGUAUGAAGAAGGCCUUCGGGUUGUAAAGUACUUUCAGCGGGGAGGAAGGGAGUAAAGUUAAUACCUUUGCUCAUUGACGUUACCCGCAGAAGAAGCACCGGCUAACUCCGUGCCAGCAGCCGCGGUAAUACGGAGGGUGCAAGCGUUAAUCGGAAUUACUGGGCGUAAAGCGCACGCAGGCGGUUUGUUAAGUCAGAUGUGAAAUCCCCGGGCUCAACCUGGGAACUGCAUCUGAUACUGGCAAGCUUGAGUCUCGUAGAGGGGGGUAGAAUUCCAGGUGUAGCGGUGAAAUGCGUAGAGAUCUGGAGGAAUACCGGUGGCGAAGGCGGCCCCCUGGACGAAGACUGACGCUCAGGUGCGAAAGCGUGGGGAGCAAACAGGAUUAGAUACCCUGGUAGUCCACGCCGUAAACGAUGUCGACUUGGAGGUUGUGCCCUUGAGGCGUGGCUUCCGGAGCUAACGCGUUAAGUCGACCGCCUGGGGAGUACGGCCGCAAGGUUAAAACUCAAAUGAAUUGACGGGGGCCCGCACAAGCGGUGGAGCAUGUGGUUUAAUUCGAUGCAACGCGAAGAACCUUACCUGGUCUUGACAUCCACGGAAGUUUUCAGAGAUGAGAAUGUGCCUUCGGGAACCGUGAGACAGGUGCUGCAUGGCUGUCGUCAGCUCGUGUUGUGAAAUGUUGGGUUAAGUCCCGCAACGAGCGCAACCCUUAUCCUUUGUUGCCAGCGGUCCGGCCGGGAACUCAAAGGAGACUGCCAGUGAUAAACUGGAGGAAGGUGGGGAUGACGUCAAGUCAUCAUGGCCCUUACGACCAGGGCUACACACGUGCUACAAUGGCGCAUACAAAGAGAAGCGACCUCGCGAGAGCAAGCGGACCUCAUAAAGUGCGUCGUAGUCCGGAUUGGAGUCUGCAACUCGACUCCAUGAAGUCGGAAUCGCUAGUAAUCGUGGAUCAGAAUGCCACGGUGAAUACGUUCCCGGGCCUUGUACACACCGCCCGUCACACCAUGGGAGUGGGUUGCAAAAGAAGUAGGUAGCUUAACCUUCGGGAGGGCGCUUACCACUUUGUGAUUCAUGACUGGGGUGAAGUCGUAACAAGGUAACCGUAGGGGAACCUGCGGUUGGAUCACCUCCUUACCUUAAAGAAGC
rnacentral:rRNA from 1 species